rnacentral:rRNA from 1 species
UACGUAGGGUGCGAGCGUUGUCCGGAAUUAUUGGGCGUAAAGAGCUUGUAGGCGGUUUGUCGCGUCUGCUGUGAAAAUCCGGGGCUCAACCCCGGACUUGCAGUGGGUACGGGCAGACUAGAGUGUGGUAGGGGAGACUGGAAUUCCUGGUGUAGCGGUGGAAUGCGCAGAUAUCAGGAGGAACACCGGUGGCGAAGGCGGGUCUCUGGGCAAUAACUGACGCUGAGGAGCGAAAGCGUGGGGAGCAAACAGG